rnacentral:sRNA from 1 species
GCCAGGUGUGGUGGCGUACACCUGUAAUCCCAGCAGUUCCGGAGGCUGAGGCAGGAGUAUUGCAAGUUCAAAGCCAGCCUCAGCAAUUUAGUGAGUCCCUAAGCAACUUAGCAAGACCCUGUCCCCC